UAGGUAGGUGGCAAGCAUUAUCCGGAUUUACUGGGCGUAAAGGGUGCGUAGGCGGAUUUUUAAGUGAGAUGUGAAAUACCCGGGCUUAACUUGGGUGCUGCAUUUCAAACUGGAAAUCUAGAGUGCAGGAGAGGAAAGUGGAAUUCCUAGUGUAGCGGUGAAAUGCGUAGAGAUUAGGAAGAACACCAGUGGCGAAGGCGACUUUCUGGACUGUAACUGACGCUGAGGCACGAAAGCGUGGGGAGCAAACAGG
rnacentral:rRNA from 1 species